GUCGAUUUGGAGUUGCUGCGAUUGGAGCCACUAGCGGGGAAAUUCAAUGGGUUCAUGAGGAUAGAAUUACAUUGUUCACCGCUGAUGGACUGGUGCAGAUUGGAGGCUCUAUCACCCCUCGCCAUGUUAGCUCUUCAGAUGUUUAUUUGCCUACAAAUUCAUACACUAUAGAAGGAGAAAAGAUGUAUAUCAUGUUAUGGGGUAUUGUGCAUGCAUGGCCAAAGGUGCAGCUGAGACACUUAAAUUGAACAUGGCUAUUAUCUUGUUACCAG